UACGGGGGGGGCAAGCGUUGUUCGGAAUUACUGGGCGUAAAGGGCUCGUAGGCGGCCAACUAAGUCAGACGUGAAAUCCCUCGGCUUAACCGGGGAACUGCGUCUGAUACUGGAUGGCUUGAGUUUGGGAGAGGGAUGCGGAAUUCCAGGUGUAGCGGUGAAAUGCGUAGAUAUCUGGAGGAACACCGGUGGCGAAGGCGGCAUCCUGGAACAACACUGACGCUGAUGAGCGAAAGCCAGGGGAGCAAACAGG
rnacentral:rRNA from 1 species